AGCGCGCGGCCAGCUUCAGUGUCUGGAUCUUGCUCAGCUUGUCGGACGGGAGCGUCGGGAUGAUCUUGCGCAGCGCAGCGAAGGCCUCGUUCAGGGACUGCGUCCUCUGGCGCUCGCGCACGUUGGCCAUGACGCGCUGCGAGUGAAGCUCCUCGAGAGACGGCGGGCUGCCGCUGCUGCCCCCGCUUCCGCUGUACGACUUCUUCCCUCUCUUCCCCGGAACAGAGCUGUCCGAGUCCUCGGCGUCCUUGCGGCUCGAGCGUCUUUUCCGCACGCUCUUCUUGGUGUGGCGCUCGAGCUCGCCUUCGCUGCUGCUGCUCGGGACGCUGUCCGCUGGAGACCCGGGGCAGCUCGAUCCGUCCUGCACAGCUUCUUCGGGCAUCUCUUUAUUUCCGAGGCGCGUCAAGACGGCCGCGUUUAUUCCCUCAUCGGGCUGCGUUGGAAUAAUGCGCUUUGCAGGAGAAAAACAAACAACAAGAAGAGUAACAAAAAAUGUAUCCAGGUUUCCACGCGACAGAAAAAGUUGACUCGGGACAAAAAAGUUGGGGCGCUCUUAUAGCCGGAGGAGAGAGAGUUGAUUGGCCCAGGACGCGCAGGCCGCUACGUGAGAAGGAGGGGUGAGAGAGAGCACUACUAUCCUUCACAAUAGCCAUGCUUAUCAGGAUUCAUCUGCUGGGCAUUAAAUGAUGUGACACCAGGUCAGAGUGUCUACUGAACAUUGUCAAAGAGGCUGACAUUCUCAAGAAAAGUAUGAACUGGCAGGGUGGGGGUGCUGCAGUGUUAGCAAGACAUGCCGGCAUGGCUCUUUCUUCAGCCAGUUUCCAUCACACACAGCACCACAAACUGAUCACCUGCUUUUCCUGGAAAUCAAAGCUGAAGUAAUGGACUGACUCUGCAGCCAACCUGAUGAAGCAUGAACUUUUUUUAACAUGAUAAAAAGUUGGUUAACAAAAUAAACAGCAAUCCAUUUAACAGUAUCGAAAUACUUAUACGCAACUACAACAGAUUAUUAGUCACAGAUUAUCAA